rnacentral:rRNA from 1 species
GCGUGCCUACGGGACGCAGCAGUGAGGAAUAUUGGUCAAUGGGCGCAAGCCUGAACCAGCCAAGUCGCGUGAGGGAAGACGGCCCUACGGGUUGUAAACCUCUUUUGCCGGGGAGCAAGCCUGAGCACGUGUGCCCAGGCGGAGAGUACCCGGAGAAAAAGCAUCGGCUAACUCCGUGCCAGCAGCCGCGGUAAUACGGAGGAUGCGAGCGUUAUCCGGAUUUAUUGGGUUUAAAGGGUGCGCAGGCGGGCUGUUAAGCCGGCGGUAAAAAUUUAGGGUCCAACCCUCUCUAGCC